CCUACGGGAGGCAGCAGUGAGGAAUAUUGGUCAAUGGACGAGAGUCUGAACCAGCCAAGUAGCGUGAAGGAUGACUGCCCUAUGGGUUGUAAACUUCUUUUAUAUGGGAAUAAACUGUUCCACGUGUGGGAUUUUGUAUGUACCAUAUGAAUAAGGAUCGGCUAACUCCGUGCCAGCAGCCGCGGUAAUACGGAGGAUCCGAGCGUUAUCCGGAUUUAUUGGGUUUAAAGGGAGCGUAGGUGGAUUGUUAAGUCAGUUGUGAAAGUUUGCGGCUCAACCGUAAAAUUGCAGUUGAAACUGGCAGUCUUGAGUACAGUAGAGGUGGGCGGAAUUCGUGGUGUAACGGUGAAAUGCUUAGAUAUCACGAAGAACUCCGAUUGCGAAGGCAGUUCACUGGACUGCAACUGACACUGAGGCUCGAAAGUGUGGGUAUCAAACAGGAUUAGAUACCCUUGUAGUC
rnacentral:rRNA from 1 species